GCCAUAUCACAUUGAAACACCGCUCCUCACCUGAUCACUGAAAUUAAGCAACGUUGAGCCUGGUCAGUACUCAGAUGGGUGACCACUGGAAAAUACCAGAUACUGUA